rnacentral:tRNA from 1 species
ACCUCCGUGGCGCAAUCGGCUAGCGCGUUCGGCUGUUAACCGAAAGGUGGUGGUUCGACCACCCGGGGCGA